rnacentral:lncRNA from 10 species
UGUUUCCCCCUCCAAACCUUUUCAACUACUUCAACCAAUUCCAAUCUCUAAUUCCAAUCUCUUCUUUCCCUGAAUUCCCAUUUAGGAUAUUGCUCUUUAAAUUGUCUUGAUUGGAAAGACUUGAUGCCUUACGAAAAUGACAAACCCUUGAGCAUCAUUUCUCAUGUUCUAAACAACACCUGAAGUGAGCUGGGCACCCAGGAAGGGCUCAAUGACUGUCUUUUCACUGCUUGAUUGACAUGCACGCUUGCAGGGUGUCGCCUGGGGACAAGCAGUGAGCGAGGCGGCCCAGCAUGUCAGCAAUCUUGCACCAUGCAGGCCUGGCUUACUUGGGUUUAAUUAUUGUACAGAUGUUUAAUAGCCUGUAUUGUGUGUGCGUUUCCUAAAUUGUCCUAGUUUAUCCAUAACUGACUUAGGGGAUAUGCAGGUUAAAAUAUUGGUGGUUUAAGAAGGAUGGAAACUUGAGUGGCAGAAGAUUAAUAAUUGCUGUAAAAGUGAAAGCAGAGAUGAGUUUUUAAGGCUUUGGCAAGGGAAGGAUGAUGACUCUGCAGGCAGCCCUGUGCUGAGAGGAAUCCACUUCCCUGCAAUGUCCUCCCCGUCGAAUGCUCCAUGAACCUUCUCUUUAGAACUCACCUCUUGCAAUGCCUCUAAUUCAGAGAGGGGGUUGUUUUUCCAAGAGCUGAUCCAACCUUUGCGUAACUGAUAAAUUACAACAGAAAAUUAGGCUGGAGUGGAAAAAAACAGUUUGGCAAUUACAGUGAUUGCCUAACACAGCUGGCCCUUCCAGUGUCCCACGUCCUCCGCCUGCCAGCUCUGCCUGGGCAUCCCAAGUGACUGGCUGGCACGUCUAAUGAAAGAUUAAAUGUUGAGGGAAAGGUUUUUUAAAGUGAAAGUAAUAAAGAUUUUAAAGAGAUUUUUUGGUGUAGGUAUUGUUCAGAGGUAAAGAUAGGCUUGACAUUGUCAUCAAUGGGUCCACAGCUUGGAGUUGCAGCAAAGAUGGUGAGGUGCCUUUCAUCUUACUGAGCUCCUAAGUCCCACCUCAUCAAAGCAGUCUUCCCUGAGAUCAUACAGAACAGAGAAUCUCAGAAGUGACAUUAUUAGGAAAUUAAAAUUCCCUAACUUUAUCGAUGAAGGAAUUGAAACCUGGAAAAGAGCACUGAACUCCACCCAAGACGUUCAGCCAAUGACCGUUUACUGUUUAACUGGCCAGCCAUUCUCACACUUUCUAAAUUUGUCUGAGCGUUUAACCACUGUGCCCUUGUUUUUUCUUUCUACCUCGUUGUUUCUACUGGAAGAAUAGGCUACUUGAUGGCAGGGAAUGUUCUUUAUGUAUUUUUAUCUCCACUGUGACUUUCACAUUGUAAUAUGGUGCUAGAUAGUAAAUGGUGCUCAGUGCUGGUUGAAUUUGCAUAAAUAUAAGUAAAUCACCAAUUAGUUAAACUAUUGUAGAUAGCUAAGCUCUUUAGCUGGGGCUCAGUUAAAACCGUGUCUUUGAGAUGCUGUGUUCACAAGUUGCAUUUGUCUUUCUUUAAUUUUUAUGUAUUAGUAGGCACAUUCUUUGGCGUUACCAGUAUCGUCCAAUUUGGAAGGGCUUUAUUAAUUUAUUUAUAUUAUACUCAUUAAUUCAUUUCUCCAUUCAUAAAAGGAGGCUAUCCCUCACAGGGAGGUGUUAAACAAAGACAUCACAGUAGGCCAGAGAGCACAGUCAAAAAAUUAGGAAGCGUGGAUCUUCUUCAAGCCUUGACUGACUGGCUUAUGACCUUGCCUAAAUUAUCAAAACCCUCCUGGUCUCUUAUUUUUCCAUACAAUGAAGAAGCGGAACCAGAUGAUCUAGGGUGCGGACACAGCCAACGCUCCGGCCCGUCUGCGUGUCCCGAGAGCAAACAGAAGGUCAUCUAAGGCUGUGGCCUGGGGCCUGCGCUGCGAGCUUCCCUCUCCUCUUCUGAGGAUGCUGCUGGGCCUCGUCUGUUCAAGGUCUGCUAGGAACGUUGCCGCAGUCACGGCCGUGGAGCAAAUGUGGGAGGCUGUGGCAUGCUCAGGGUGAGAUUCUUUCGCAGUGCCGCUGAAGCCAUCCUGUGCAGGGUGACUGGAGUCGCCUCACAAGUGGCUGCCACGUGGCAACAUGUCACUCGGAAUAAAGGCCCCAGGAAUGCCGGACUGUGAAGCCUCCUCCCUCUCACUCUUCCCGACACUCCUCGUAGGGGCUCAGGGACCCAUUGAAGGCAGGAGGAUUCCCUCUGUGGAAUUCCCUGGGUGAGAGGACUCAGGGUGACAGGGGCAGGCUGCAGCGGGGAGAGAAGGAGGGUGUGUGGACACCGGACCUCCAAGUGCGGCAGCCCCAGGGGGAAAGCAUAGAGCCUGGCCCUGCCUUCUCACCCUGCCUGCGAGUCCUGGUCUGGACCUGGGCCUUGGUUCUCCUGUUUCCCGUGGCUGCUGUGAAUGGCCAUCAGUCUGCUUUUCAGGGAAAGCACUCCUUCUCUUCAACAAGUGCUCAGUUUAUCAUUUAAAGGUCAGCCUGUCAGCUCAGCACAAAGGAAAACACAGGUUCUUAACCACGAAAGGAAGGUGGACAGAGUGGUCCGCAUGUCUCAUUUCCUAGGAUGGUGGAAAUCAUCUGGUCUUAGCCACUGCUCCUGUCCAGACUUCUCAUUUUAUGGAUGAGGCAUUGAGGCCCAGAGGGGUCAAACAGCCUAAGGUGACAAGUGACUGCUGGAGCCGAAACCUGCAGCUCCGCCACCUCCCGUUCCUGUAGACGGAUUUUCCCACCUGCUCUGCCACCAACUGCUUUGCCCAGGAUCAGCCAGAAAAUGGAAGGCUUGAGUUUGGCCUUGUUCACCGUUGGUUCAUUCCUGAUAAGAAAGGCACCCACAGGCCAGCUGCUCUUCCGCGGGGGCCUCAGCCCUGCUUCUCAAACUCUCCGUGUUUCAGUUUCCUCAUCUGCAAAGUGGGAAAAGACUCACCUUCCAGGUUACUUAAAUCAGUUGUGAGAUUUCAAACCAAUUUAGGUUGAAAUGUAAAACCCACAGUGAAACUGGCGGGGAAAGUCAGGAGAAAAAUCUCAGCAUUGACAAGGGGACAGCCAAUUCAAUGAAGUGUUGGUUUAAUGAGCGCCAGCUGCAUGCCCAGGACCCUGCAAAGGGCUGGGGCACGUGAGAAACCAACAUGCCCCUCAGACCGAGGGGGUGGGCCUUCCCAGGGAGACGCAGAGCAGACACCCGGGACCAGCCUCAACCUCAGUGCAGCCGAAACGUGAUGGUCAGAAGCCGGGCUGGUCCUGAGCUGCCGGCGGGCUGGGGCUGAACUCAGCAUUUUGGUGCCAGCAUGUGCCUAUGCGAGCAGGAGGAGGCUGCGGUGGGUAGGUCCUGACCACACGUGGGCCCCACCUGGAAGCAGGGCUCACACACACAGUGCGUCUCCUCAUUGAGAGUUCAAAAUGUGAGGACAGGACGUCACCAACUGCCAUGCAGCUGACUUCCAGGCAGGGACCAUGACUUUCUCCUGUGAGCCCCGGUGGUGCCACGGAGAAUCUGGUCUGCAGGGGGAUGGGGCCACCUCUGCUUUCAGGGCCUCAGUUUCCUUGUACAUCAAAGAGGGGUCAGGCAGGGGGCACCAUCCAGUUUCUUCUGGUUCAGUUGUUUGUAAAUUCCACGUCAGAGAACACGGAAUAAAAAAUGCAAACCAUUGAGUCAGCGCAGGGGGCUGUAGUGACAUAUUCAUGAGCAGCGCUGCUGUCUUGGAAGGCUCCUGAUGGGGCAUCCAAGGCAGCCGGUGAGAAGCCUGGGGACGCGGAGCUGGGUGUGAUCUAUUUCAUUGGUUUGCAUGCAGGAGAGGGGCCCGUUCGCGUGUGUAAUUGUGAGAUUCUGUGAGAGAUCCUCUGCACGUGGUUUAGCAGGUGCACUUUUUCAUCAGGAUGCGUAGAGUUUGUGUCUGAACGUGGCCCCAGGGGACGGAUGGGAGGCUCGAGAACCAGCCACGACUGGCAAGCACCACAGGAGCAAGAUGCGCUUAGGAAUAUUGACCUUCCAAUGGCGGCUUCCCAGUCUAACGGGCAGUCAUGAGUUUUUCAAUUGUUGAUGAAGAGGUGAAUAUUCUUCACCUGCCCAGCAAUGAUUCCAACACAUCUGCUCCCAAACCUCUGCCCUCUCCCGUCUCUCAGCAGCCUAUCAUCCUCAACUCUCUUGGCGCCAACACUACUGCUUCCAUGUCUUGAAUCCUGUUUAAUACAUGCACGACCUUUAUGACCUUUCCCCAACCACCCAUCUUCCUGGUGUCAUUUCUGGAGCUCCUCCUCUUCUGCCGUCUCACCCCCUCGUCGGAGGGGAGCUAAAAUGCAUGGCUCCAGGCUGGGCCCAGGUCCAGAUGUCUUCUUGCAAACCCCACCACCAAGCUUGCAUUAGUAACCAUACUCAUAACUAUAUCCUUGAGUGGUGACGUUUGGUUCACAAAAGCACUUUCAGAGUUAUUUUCUAAUCUGAGUCUCAUGACAAUCCCAAGACAGGCAUUUCUAACCUCAUUUUCAGCACAGAAACUGUAAGAGAGAGGUAAACCGUUGCACAACAGCACCUGGGUAGCAAGUGUGGGGCAGGACCCAGUUUCUUGGUUUCAAGCUCAGUGCCUGUUUACCUGGAACCUGCGGGGAACCCUUGGGUAAAACCCUGACACGAACCCACCUUCCUGGAGGUGCCCACCCCCCAAGUGUGAACAGUAGGACACAUCUCUCAGAUUCCAUGAGACCAGUGCCAGGAGAGCCUGGUCACACACAGACAAUGAUGACUAAGCUGUGCUGGGUGCAGAGUGCCCCCCAGUUCAGGCUCACCCUGGGGAGAGAUUGGAGAUGAAUCCUUUUCACCCCCAGCUCUUAACUGCUGCUGCCUAAUUCUGAUCCUCCGGUCUACUGAGGACUUCUGAAACAAAUGCUUCCCGACGUGAUCACUUAAAUAGUAACGCAACAGAAGAUAUUACUGUGCUUCCCCAAGGAGCUCACACGCUCCCAGCAAUGACUUGCCAUUAGAAAUGAUUACCCUGUUAGGGAAUUUGUCUUUUUCUUUCAAGGCUUCUGGGAUAAAUUGCACAGAAUAAUGCCUGGCAACAGAGUAGGCACUUAAUUAAAAGAUUUGUGGAGUGCUUAAUUAAUUAAUAAUAUAGUCAUGCAAAUUUAAGAAAAAAUGACACUUCUUGUUUGGUGUCUGAAACAGAGGGAUUUGGGCUCUACUUUCUUUUUCUGAGCUCUCUUUUGGGGUGGCAUAGUGGAGCAGGAGAGGUAGGUCAGUGGGGCAAUAUUUUGGAACUGCCACUGGGAAAAAUUUUGCUUGUUGCUUUUUCCUUGCUUUAGUGGUUAAAAUACACUAGCAUAUUAUUUUAAAACCUCUUAGUAAUGCCUGAACCAAUUCAAAGAAAUGGAGAAAAACCAUAAGUGCAAAAGUGAUCCACAAAAAAAGUGUUUGAGAACUGAGGCUGUCCAGCUAGUUUAAGUGCCAGUCAGAGGGUAACUGGCCCUGGUCCCUGCUGUGUUGGUCAGUGGCUCUGACCAAAGCUGAUGCGUCUCAGCAAUGCUGGGCUCCUGGGUUAUGCAGAAGCUGACGCCUCGGGACAAGGUCAUCUCUGAACGAAGGAGGCCAGAUCGGUCAGCAAGGUGUCCUGGUUACAGAGCAGGUGAGGAAGUGUAAGUUUUGGUCUGAGGUUUGGAAGCAGGGUCCAGAAAUCUAUACAAGGGAGGCCCUGGGCUCUGAUAUUCAGGAGAGGCCAUGUGGCAGGAGUUCCUCAGUAUCAGAAUUCACUGGAAGAGGAGCCUGCUCCAGAUGGAAAGGGUGCAGUUGAGAGACACGGAAAUGCACUUUGGCAGCUGUGCCCUGGGGCCUGGGCUUUCCUUGGUCAUUUUGUUGCCGUUCCAUUCAGAGCAGCUUGCAAUGCCACAUCUCAGUCUGACCUCGUUUCCCUACGAAAUAACUAGGAGUUCUAAAGAGAGCCUCACUCAAGAGACUAAAGUCUUCCAAGAAGUUUGUGCCGAAAGGCCUGUUGUGGAUAGGAAAUUAGCCAAGCCAUUAUGACAUUUCGAAUGUCCUUUUUGUAUUUCUACAUGUUUUAAUGAAAACAUUGAAUUGCUUCUUGAAAUGAUAAAAUUGCAACCACGACACGUGUCCC